CAUGAGUUGCAAGACUCCUAACCAUUGUGACCUACCUUCUACCGUGCUUCGGCGGGCCAGCGCCCCCGGCCCCCGGGCCCUCCGGAGUAUACCAAACUCUUGACAUUAGUGGCCUCUCUGAGUAUUCUUUACUGAAUAAGUCA
rnacentral:misc_RNA from 1 species